ensembl:lncRNA
CAUUGUCAUUCCCAUUAUUCCUGCCAUUGUCAUUCCCAUUAACAUUGCCAUUAUUCCCAUUGUCAUUCCCAUUGUUAUUCCCAUUGUUAUUCCCAUUAUCAUUCCCAUCAUUCCCAAUGUCGUUCCCAUUGUUAUUCCCAUUAUUCCCAUUGUUAUUCCCAUUAUCAUUCCCAUUAUUCCCAUUAUUCCCAUUGUUAUUCCCAUUGUUAUUCCCAUUAUCAUUCCCAUCAUUCCCAUUGCUAUUCCCAUUAUUAUUCCCAUUCCCAUUAAUUCCCAUUAUUCCCAUUGUUAUUCCCAUUCCCAUUAUCAUUCCCAUUAUUCCUAUUGCUAUCCCCAUUAUCAUUCCCAUUAUUCCUGCCAUUGUCAUUCCCAUUAACAUUCCCAUUAACAUUCCCAUUAUCACUCCCAUUAUUCCCAUCGUUAUUCCCAUUAUCAUUCCCAUUAUUCCCAUUAUUCCUGCCAUUGUUAUUCCCAUUGUCAUUCCCAUUAUUGCCAUUGUCAUUCCCAUUGUCAUUCCCAUUGUCAUUCCCAUCAUUCCCAAUGUUAUUCCCAUCAUUCCCAUUGUCAUUCCCAUUGUCAUUCCCAUUGUUAUUCCCAUUAUCAUUCCCAUCAUUCCCAUUGUUAUUCCCAUUAACAUUCCCAUUAUUCCCAUUGUUAUUCCCAUUAUCAUUCCCAUUAUUCCCAUUAUUCCUGCCAUUGUUAUUCCCAUUGUUAUUCCCAUUAACAUUCCCAUUCCCAUUAAUUCCCAUUAUUCCCAUUAUUCUUGCCAUUAUCAUUCCCAUUAUCACUCUCAUUAUCAUUCCCAAUGUCAUUCCCAUAAUUCCCAUUGUCAUUCCCGUUGUUAUUCCCAUUGUCAUUCCCAUUAUCAUUCCCAUUAUUCCCAUUAUUCCUACCAUUGUUAUUCCCAUUAUCAUUCCCGUUAUUCCCAUUGUCAUUCCCAUUAACAUUCCCAUUAUUCCCAUUGUUAUUCCCAUUAUCAUUCCCAUUAUCAUUCCCAUUACUCCCAUUAUUCCUGCCAUUAUCAUUCCCAUUAUCAUUCCCAUUAUUCCCAUUGUCAUUCCCAUUUUUCCCAUUGUUAUUCCCAUUGUCAUUCCCAUUAUUCCCAUUGCUAUUCCCAUUAUUCCCAUUAUCAUUCCCAUUGCCAUUCCCAUUAUUCCCAUUAUCAUUCCCAUUAUCAUUCCCAUUAUCAUUCCCAUUAUUCCCAUUGUCAUUCCCAUUAUUCCCAGUGUUAUUCCCAUUACCAUUCCCAUUACCAUUCCCAUUACCAUUCCCAUUAUCAUUCCCAUUAUCAUUCCCAUCAUUCCCACCAUUGUCAUUCCCGUUGUAUAUCCCGUUCCCGUGGUAUAUGGGGUCGAUAUCCCACCGCUGUUGUUGUUUCCCG